GCCGAAAUAGCUCAGUUGGGAGAGCGUUAAGACUGAAGUUAUUUACGCAACAAUCAUCUCAAGGCCCCCGGUUCAAUCCCGGGUUCCGGCA
rnacentral:tRNA from 1 species